UACAGAGACUGCAAGCGUUAUUCGGAUUCACUGGGCGUAAAGGGUGCGCAGGCGGCCGUGUGUGUCAGGUGUGAAAGCCCGGAGCUUAACUCCGGAAUUGCGCCUGAAACUACAUGGCUAGAGCAUUGGAGAGGGUAGCGGAAUUCACGGUGUAGCAGUGAAAUGCGUAGAUAUCGUGAGGAACACCAGAGGCGAAGGCGGCUACCUGGACAAUUGCUGACGCUCAGGCACGAAGGCCAGGGGAGCAAACGGG
rnacentral:rRNA from 1 species